UGGCAGCAGCUCAGUCCCAUAGCAAAC
rnacentral:piRNA from 1 species